rnacentral:rRNA from 1 species
UACAGAGGUCCCAAGCGUUGUUCGGAUUUACUGGGCGUAAAGGGUGCGUGGGCGGUCGGGUAAGUCUGAUGUGAAAUCUCGCAGCUCAACUGCGAAACUGCAUUGGAUACUAUUCGGCUUGAGGUCUGGAGGGGGGACUGGAAUUCUCGGUGUAGCAGUGAAAUGCGUAGAUAUCAGGAAGAACACCCGUGGCGAAGGCGGCUCUCUGGGACGGUACUGACGCUGAGACGCGAAAGCGUGGGGAGCGAACAGG